GAGAGAGUGACGCAGGGAGAAGAAAGGGGAAGCGAGAGAAUCCCGAAAAGAAACAGGGAAUAGACGUAAAGCACAGAAGCAGAGAGGUAUAGAGCUAGCCACAUGAUUUGAGACACAGUCUUCACUGAACUUGGAGUUCAUUGACUCAACCAUACUGCCUGGCCAACGAGCUCCAGAGGUUUGUCUGUCUCUGCUCAUCUAACAACGUGGUAAAAGAUGUACACAGAGUCUGGCUUUUGCAUUGGUGCUGAAGUUUUGGACUCUGGUCCUCAUGCUUCUGUGGCAGUCACUUUAAUGACUGAGCCAUCUGUGCAGCCUGUUAAGAGUGUUUUUGAACGAACAAGUCACUGGAAGAUGUGGAGCCUAGCUAAGGAAGGGGAAACAUGGUUGGAGAAGCUGGUAGCGAAUGAGCCUUCAGUGAUGUUCCUGCUAUGUUCCAGGCCCUGUGUUCACACUAUCCAUGUGUUAUCAAUUGUACAUGAACAUUUUGAGAUAGCUAAGGUUAUUUUAUUUUCCAUGAUGCCUUUGUUUUCCUAGUUGCAGAGCCAAGGAAUAAAACAGGAAUUAUACAAACAGUA